AAAAAGGGCUUCUGUCGUGAGUGGCACACGUGAGGCAACUCAACUGCUCUUGGUGCAGAAUCGACAUCAAGAGAUUUCGGAGGCAGCAUUUUUUUUGGUACCUGGGCAGCUGGUGAUCGUUGGUCCCAGCGCCCGA
ensembl:snRNA